GAUGAACGCUGACAGAAUGCUUAACACAUGCAAGUCUUUGGCGAAGCUGUGCUUGCACAGCCUAGCCAAGGCGGACGGGUGAGUAACGCGUAAGGAACUUGCCCUGCAGUCAGGGAUAACAGACGGAAACGACUGAUAAGACCUGGUAAAGUCAGGCGGACUCAUGUCCAGCCUGAUGAGAAGAGAUGCUGCAGGAGAGCCUUGCGUCCUAUUAGCUUGUUGGUGGGGUAACGGCCCACCAAGGCGAUGAUAGGUAGCCGGCCUGAGAGGGUGGACGGCCACAAGGGGACUGAGAUACGGCCCUUACUCCUACGGGAGGCAGCAGUGGGGAAUAUUGGACAAUGGGGGCAACCCUGAUCCAGCAAUUCUGUGUGCACGAUGAAGGUUUUCGGAUUGUAAAGUGCUUUCAGCAGGGAAGAAAAAAAUGACGGUACCUGCAGAAGAAGCGACGGCUAAAUACGUG
rnacentral:rRNA from 1 species